AUCCUGCCGGAGGCCACUGCUAUCAGAGUUCGAUUAAGCCAUGCGAGUCGAGAGGUGCAAGACCUCGGCAUACUGCUCAGUAACACGUGGACAACCUACCCUGCAGAGGGGGAUAACCCCGGGAAACUGGGGAUAAUACCCCAUAGACUAUAGAUGCUGGAAUGCUUUGUAGUUGAAAGGUCCGCCGCCAUAGGAUGGGUCUGCGGCCGAUUAGGUUGUUGUUGGGGUAACGGCCCAACAAGCCUGUAAUCGGUACGGGUUGUGGGAGCAAGAGCCCGGAGAUGGAUUCUGAGACACGAAUCCAGGCCCUACGGGGCGCAGCAGGCGCGAAAACUUUACAAUGCGGGAAACCGUGAUAAGGGAACUCCGAGUGCCCGUAAAAUCGGGCUGUCCAUCUGUUUAAAUAACAGGUGAAGAAAGGGCCGGGCAAGACCGGUGCCAGCCGCCGUGGUAAUACCGGCGGCUCGAGUGGUGGCCACUAUUACUGGGCUUAAAGCGUUCGUAGCUGGUCUGUUAAGUCUCUGGGGAAAUCUACUGGCUUAACCAAUAGGCGUCUCAGGGAUACUGGCAGACUAGGGACCGGGAGAGGUGAGAGGUACUCCAGGGGUAGGAGUGAAAUCCUGUAAUCCUUGGGGGACCACCUGUGGCGAAGGCGUCUCACCAGAACGGCUCCGACAGUGAGGGACGAAAGCUGGGGGAGCAAACCGGAUUAGAUACCCGGGUAGUCCCAGCCGUAAACGAUGCGCGUUAGGUGUAUCGGUGACCACGAGUCACCGACGUGCCGAAGAGAAAUCGUGAAACGUGCCGCCUGGGAAGUACGGUCGCAAGGCUGAAACUUAGAGGAAUUGGCGGGGGAGCACCACAACGG
rnacentral:rRNA from 1 species